GACGAACGCUGGCGGCGUGCUUAACACAUGCAAGUCGAACGGAAAGGCCCUGCUUGCAGGGUACUCGAGUGGCGAACGGGUGAGUAACACGCGGGUGAUCCGCCCUGCACUUCGGGAUAAGCUUGGGAAACUGGGUCUAAUACCGGAUAGGACCGCACCUGAGUGUGUGUGGUGGAAAGUUUUUUCGGUGUAGGAUGAGCUCGCGGGCUAUCAGCUUGUUGGUGGGGUAAUGGGCUACCAAGGGGGCGACGGGUAGCCGGCCUGAGAGGGUGUACGGCCACAUUGGGACUGAGAUACGGCGCAGACUCCUACGGGAGGCAGCAGUGGGGAAUAUUGCACAAUGGGGGCAAGCCUGAUGCAGAGACGCCGCGUGGGGGAUGAAGGCCUUCGGGUUGUAAACUCCUUUCGCUAGGGACGAAGCGUUGUUGUGACGGUACCUAGAUAAGAAGCACCGGCUAACUACGUG
rnacentral:rRNA from 1 species